GCAAACUUGGUCAUUUAGAGGAAGUAAAAGUCGUAACAAGGUUUCCGUAGGUGAACCUGCGGAAGGAUCAUUAACAUUGAAGAGAAUUUUUCAUCAAUUCUUGAACCCCUCACGAGUACUUGUACCCGUUGCUUCCAUGGCUCAUGCGGGCUUUGCUGUCUGCUCAGCCGCACCGACAAAGUGCAGCGGUCAUGGAGGGAUCACUUCAACCUCUGUUUUUAUAAAACUUUUGUCCGAGUGUGAUCAGCAGCUUGAAAAGAAAAAGCUUGAAGCUUUGAAAAACUUUCAACAACGGAUCUCUUGGUUCUCGCAUCGAUGAAGAACGCAGC
rnacentral:misc_RNA from 1 species